ensembl:lncRNA
GUGGGGGCUCAGGUUGUAGCGCCUUUACCUGUCUGCCCUUGCGAGGCAGAGACCCAGACGAGGAUCGACAUCACUCUGACAGCGCUGACGCAGCCGACCAGAGCAGGUUGAACAUAUCAGCAACAUGGCAGAAGAGGUUGACAGGAACAAGGUGUUUGAAACCACCAGGGUGAAGACUUCACUUAAGAACGAUGUCAGUUGGAUCCAGGGAUCAAAACAAGGACAUAAAGAGCAAGACAGUGCAAGGACAGCCCAGGCUGUGGAGACUAAACCCGCCUCAGUCAAAGAGAAGUCAUAUGUCCUGCUCACAGCCAAGAAAUUUGAAUCAGUCAACCCUCCACCGAGCCCUCCUCUGCAAAACACGGAGUUUAUUCUAUCUGAAGGCGAUUCAGCUAAUCAGGAAAAUUGUGAAGUUGUUCCUCCUCACAAAGAUGCUCAGCCUGAGGGGUCAACAGUGGAGACCACAGACGAUGCCAGGUCCCAAGCAGUCACAGAGAAACCUAUCCAAAACGGCGAUGCACAACCAGACACAUCUGUGGAGAACACAACUGCAGAAAACAAGGAAGAAAAUGCCGAUACAGCAGUUAAGCUGUCAAAUGUAGAACAGAAUGAGGGGGCCGCUGAGGUCUCUGCAGAUGUCCAUGUAGAAGAACAGAUCCAAAAUGGUGAGGCACAACCAGACACAUCUGUGGAGAACACAACUGCAGAAAACAAGGAAGAAAAUGCCGAUACAGCAGUUGAGCUGUCAAAUGUAGAACAGAAUGAGGGGGCCGCUGAGGUCUCUGCAGAUGUCCAUGUAGACGAACAGAUCCAAAAUGGUGAGGCACAACCAGACACAUCUGUGGAGAACACAACUGCAGAAAACAAGGAAGAAAAUGCCGAUACAGCAGUUGAGCUGUCAAAUGUAGAACAGAAUGAGGGGGCCGCUGAGGUCUCUGCAGAUGUCCAUGUAGACGAACAGAUCCAAAAUGGUGAGGCACAACCAGACACAUCUGUGGAGAACACAACUGCAGAAAACAAGGAGGAAAAUGCUGAUACAACAAUUGAGCUGUCGAACGCAGGACUGAGUGAGGGGACCGCGGAGGUCUCUGCAGAUGUCCAUGUAGACGAACAGAUCCAAAAUGGUGAGGCACAACCAGACACAUCUGUGGAGAACACAUCUGUAGAAAACAAGGAGGAAAAUGCUGAUACAACAAUUGAGCUGUCGAACGCAGGACUGAGUGAGGGGACCGCGGAGGUCUCUGCAGAUGUCCAUGUAGAGGAACAUGUCCAACAUGGCGAGGCACAACCAGUUUCUUCAUCAAAGGAAGAACCAGAAUCAGUGUCACCUGCGGAGCCGACUGAGCAACAGCUUGUCAACACAACAUCAGAAAUCAAGGGAGAAUAUGCCAAUACAGCAGCUGAUGAGUCAUAUGUAGAACAAAAUGAGGUCAAAGUCUCUGCAGAUGCUCGCGUGGAAGAUGCUUUUGCAGAAACCUCAGCUGCAGCAGGCACAGGGGAGAAUAAAGACAGUGCUGUGGUCCCUGCUGUGCUUUUAGGUGAACCGAAAAUUGAAGACCAACCUUCAGCGGAAACAGAGCCAGCAAACGCAACAAAUGUGGAGAACGCAGGAGUCGAAUCAACUGUAGAACCUGCGGAGGGGAGUAGUGAGACAUGUCCUCCAAAAGAGGCAGCAGGAGAAAUAGUUAAAGCUAUAUAUGUGGCUGUGGAGGAGUCAUCACCUGACGAGAGUGAUGUGAUUAAUACAGCGUCAGGAGGAGAGGCUGUUCCUCAAGACAGUGUGGACACAGUCCCCGACGUAGUGGCAAGUCGUGUAUCUGAAUCGCCCACUCAUCCUGCUGCCGAAGCUGCUACAGACAGGGGUUGUGAGACAGGUCCUUCUGCAGAUACUGCUGAAGCUGCAAUUGAGGUUAAGGUGGAGUCAUUGCCUGCGCCACUGGCUCCGGCCAACGCGGCAGGAGACGAAGCUGCUCCCCAGGACACUGUGAAAGCAGUCCCUGACUUAGUGGCAGACACUGAGUCCAAAUCGCCCACUCAACCCGCUGCUGAGGCUGCAGUCGAGUCUGUAGACAGCCAGGUUGUGUCUGCCGCCUCAGCGGAGCCAAUUUUACAGACCAGAGCUGACGAGGUUGUUAAGUGUGAAGUCCAGCCUGUCCAGAGCGCCGUUGUGGAGCAAAGUGCCCAGCCGGCGACUGACAAUGCAUCAGAUCAGGUGGUGGAGUUGAGCAUCAUGGAUGCGCUUGAGCCUGUAACAGCUCCAAAUGAUCAGUUCUCUUAUGACGCCAUGGAACUGACGGAUGCACUAGAUGUAGAUGUGAAGCCACCCACAAGUGACGCCGCCCCUGAACCUGCGAAAGAUCCAGAGCAAUCCCACACCGAGGAGAAGCCACCGAUCCAACAGUCUGAUCUUACCAACAUCUUUGAAAUGUCUCAAAAGUCUGAAGAGGAGCAACGACCCACACGGACGCUGAGUUUACCUAGGACAACCAAGGCUGUUUGUUCAUUCUGUGACAAAACCAUCGACGGAAACGUCAGGCUCAUAUUCAGCGAACCUCAGAUGAACUGCCACCCCGACUGUCUCAAGUGUGGCGUGUGUGCUAAGGCCCUGGGAGAUCUGCUGACCCCCAUGUUUCUGUGUAACCAAGUGAUCCAAUGUGAUGGCUGCUUUGCGAUAGCUCUCAAGACCUGA